AACGAACGCUGGCGGCAUGCCUAACACAUGCAAGUCGAACGAGACCUUCGGGUCUAGUGGCGCACGGGUGCGUAACGCGUGGGAACCUGCCCUUAGGUUCGGAAUAACUCCCCGAAAGGGGUGCUAAUACCGGAUAAUGUCUUCGGACCAAAGAUUUAUCGCCUUUGGAUGGGCCCGCGUUGGAUUAGCUAGUUGGUAGGGUAAAAGCCUACCAAGGCGACGAUCCAUAGCUGGUCUGAGAGGCUGAUCAGCCACACUGGGACUGAGACACGGCCCAGACUCCUACGGGAGGCAGCAGUGGGGAAUAUUGGACAAUGGGCGAAAGCCUGAUCCAGCAAUGCCGCGUGAGCUAUGAAGGCCUUAGGGUUGUAAAGCUCUUUUACCCGGGAUGAUAAUGACGGUACCGGGAGAAUAAGCUCCGGCUAACUCCGUG
rnacentral:rRNA from 1 species